AGAGUUUGAUCCUGGCUCAGGACGAACGCUGGCGGCGUGCUUAACACAUGCAAGUCGAACGAUGAACCACUUCGGUGGGGAUUAGUGGCGAACGGGUGAGUAACACGUGGGCAAUCUGCCCUGCACUCUGGGACAAGCCCUGGAAACGGGGUCUAAUACCGGAUACUGAUCGCCUUGGGCAUCCUUGGUGAUCGAAAGCUCCGGCGGUGCAGGAUGAGCCCGCGGCCUAUCAGCUUGUUGGUGAGGUAAUGGCUCACCAAGGCGACGACGGGUAGCCGGCCUGAGAGGGCGACCGGCCACACUGGGACUGAGACACGGCCCAGACUCCUACGGGAGGCAGCAGUGGGGAAUAUUGCACAAUGGGCGAGAGCCUGAUGCAGCGACGCCGCGUGAGGGAUGACGGCCUUCGGGUUGUAAACCUCUUUCAGCAGGGAAGAAGCGAAAGUGACGGUACCUGCAGAAGAAGCGCCGGCUAACUACGUGCCAGCAGCCGCGGUAAUACGUAGGGCGCGAGCGUUGUCCGGAAUUAUUGGGCGUAAAGAGCUCGUAGGCGGCUUGUCGCGUCGGUUGUGAAAGCCCGGGGCUUAACCCCGGGUCUGCAGUCGAUACGGGCAGGCUAGAGUUCGGUAGGGGAGAUCGGAAUUCCUGGUGUAGCGGUGAAAUGCGCAGAUAUCAGGAGGAACACCGGUGGCGAAGGCGGAUCUCUGGGCCGAUACUGACGCUGAGGAGCGAAAGCGUGGGGAGCGAACAGGAUUAGAUACCCUGGUAGUCCACGCCGUAAACGGUGGGCACUAGGUGUGGGCGACAUUCCACGUCGUCCGUGCCGCAGCUAACGCAUUAAGUGCCCCGCCUGGGGAGUACGGCCGCAAGGCUAAAACUCAAAGGAAUUGACGG
rnacentral:rRNA from 1 species